rnacentral:rRNA from 1 species
AGAGUUUGAUCAUGGCUCAGGACGAACGCUGGCGGCGUGCUUAACACAUGCAAGUCGAACGGAAAGGCCCUUCGGGGUACUCGAGUGGCGAACGGGUGAGUAACACGUGGGUGAUCUGCCCUGCACUUUGGGAUAAGCCUGGGAAACUGGGUCUAAUACCGAAUAGGACCACGCGCUUCAUGGUGUGUGGUGGAAAGCUUUUGCGGUGUGGGACGGGCCCGCGGCCUAUCAGCUUGUUGGUGGGGUAAUGGCCUACCAAGGCGACGACGGGUAGCCGGCCUGAGAGGGUGACCGGCCACACUGGGACUGAGAUACGGCCCAGACUCCUACGGGAGGCAGCAGUGGGGAAUAUUGCACAAUGGGCGCAAGCCUGAUGCAGCGACGCCGCGUGAGGGAUGACGGCCUUCGGGUUGUAAACCUCUUUCAAUAGGGACGAAGCGCAAGUGACGGUACCUAUAGAAGAAGCACCGGCCAACUACGUGCCAGCAGCCGCGGUAAUACGUAGGGUGCGAGCGUUGUCCGGAAUUACUGGGCGUAAAGAGCUCGUAGGUGGUUUGUCGCGUUGUUCGUGAAAACUCACAGCUUAACUGUGGGCGUGCGGGCGAUACGGGCAGACUAGAGUACUGCAGGGGAGACUGGAAUUCCUGGUGUAGCGGUGGAAUGCGCAGAUAUCAGGAGGAACACCGGUGGCGAAGGCGGGUCUCUGGGCAGUAACUGACGCUGAGGAGCGAAAGCGUGGGGAGCGAACAGGAUUAGAUACCCUGGUAGUCCAA